rnacentral:rRNA from 1 species
AUUGAACGCUGGCGGCAGGCUUAACACAUGCAAGUCGAACGAGUGGCGGACGGGUGAGUAAUGCUUGGGAAUCUAGCUUAUGGAGGGGGAUAACUACGGGAAACUGUAGCUAAUACCGCGUACCAUAGGAUGAGCCCAAGUGGGCUUAGGUAGUUGGUGGGGUAAAGGCUCACCAAGCCGACGAUCUCUAGCUGGUCUGAGAGGAUAACCAGCAAUACUCGGACUGAGAAACCGCCACGACUCAUACGGGAGGCAGCAGUGGAGAAUAUAGAGCAAUGGGGGAAAGCUGACGCAGCCAUGCCGCGUGAAUGAAGAAGGCCUUCGGUUUGUAAAUUUCUUGCGGUAGCGAGGCGUUAACUACAGAAGAAGCACCGGCUAACUCCGUGCCAGCCGCCGCGGUAAUUC